CCUACGGGAGGCAGCAGUGGGGGAUAUUGCACAAUGGGGGCAACCCUGAUGCAGCGACGCCGCGUGGGUGAAGACGCGCCUCGGCGCGUAAAGCCCUGUCAGCAGGGAAGAAAAUGACGGUACCUGAAGAAGACGCCCCGGCUAACUACGUGCCAGCAGCCGCGGGAAUACGUCGGGGGCCAGCGUUCUCCGGAUUUACUGGGGGUAAAGGGGGCGCAGUCGGCGAUGCAAGCCAGGAGUGAAAGCCCGGGGCCCAACCCCGGGAGUGCGCUUGAAACUGCGUGGCUGGAGUGCAGGAGGGGCAGGCGGAAUGCCUGGUGUAGCGGUGAAAUGCGUAGAUAUCAGGAGGAACACCGGUGGCGAAGGCGGCCUGCUGGACUGCAACUGACGUUGAGGCCCGAAAGCGUGGGGAGCAAACAGGAUUAGAUACCCGAGUAGUC
rnacentral:rRNA from 1 species